GACAGAGGGUGCAAACGUUGUUCGGAAUUACUGGGCGUAAAGCGCAUGUAGGCGGCAACGCAAGUCGGGCGUGAAAUCCCACGGCUCAACCGUGGAAGUGCACUCGAAACUGCGUAGCUAGAGUCCUGGAGAGGAAGGUGGAAUGCUUGGUGUAGAGGUGAAAUUCGUAGAUAUCAAGCGGAACACCGGUGGCGAAGGCGGCCUUCUGGACAGUGACUGACGCUGAGAGUGCGAAAGCGUGGGGAGCGAACAGGA
rnacentral:rRNA from 1 species